rnacentral:rRNA from 1 species
AUUGAACGCUGGCGGCAGGCCUAACACAUGCAAGUCGAGCGGAUGAAGGGAGCUUGCUCCUGGAUUCAGCGGCGGACGGGUGAGUAAUGCCUAGGAAUCUGCCUGGUAGUGGGGGAUAACGUCCGGAAACGGGCGCUAAUACCGCAUACGUCCUGAGGGAGAAAGUGGGGGAUCUUCGGACCUCACGCUAUCAGAUGAGCCUAGGUCGGAUUAGCUAGUUGGUGGGGUAAAGGCCUACCAAGGCGACGAUCCGUAACUGGUCUGAGAGGAUGAUCAGUCACACUGGAACUGAGACACGGUCCAGACUCCUACGGGAGGCAGCAGUGGGGAAUAUUGGACAGUGGGCGAAAGCCUGAUCCAGCCAUGCCGCGUGUGUGAAGAAGGUCUUCGGAUUGUAAAGCACUUUAAGUUGGGAGGAAGGGCAGUAAGUUAAUACCUUGCUGUUUUGACGUUACCAACAGAAUAAGCACCGGCUAACUGCGU